UACGUAGGGUGCAAGCGUUGUCCGGAAUUAUUGGGCUUAAAGAGCUCGUAGGCGGUCUGUCGCGUCGGAUGUGAAAACUCGGGGCUCAACCCCGAGCCUGCAUUCGAUACGGGCAGACUAGAGUUCGGUAGGGGAGACUGGAAUUCCUGGUGUAGCGGUGAAAUGCGCAGAUAUCAGGAGGAACACCGGUGGCGAAGGCGGGUCUCUGGGCCGAUACUGACGCUGAGGAGCGAAAGCGUGGGGAGCGAACAGG
rnacentral:rRNA from 1 species